rnacentral:rRNA from 1 species
UUCCAGACUCCUACGGGAGGCAGCAGUGGGGAAUAUUGCACAAUGGGGGAAACCCUGAUGCAGCGACGCCGCGUGAGCGAUGAAGUAUUUCGGUAUGUAAAGCUCUAUCAGCAGGGAAGAAAAUGACGGUACCUGACUAAGAAGCCCCGGCUAACUACGUGCCAGCAGCCGCGGUAAUACAUAGGGGGCAAGCGUUAUCCGGAAUUAUUGGGUGUAAAGGGUGCGUAGACGGAAGAACAAGUUGGUUGUGAAAUCCCUCGGCUCAACUGAGGAACUGCAACCAAAACUAUUCUCCUUGAGUGUCGGAGAGGAAAGUGGAAUUCCUAGUGUAGCGGUGAAAUGCGUAGAUAUUAGGAGGAACACCAGUGGCGAAGGCGACUUUCUGGACGAUAACUGACGUUGAGGCACGAAAGUGUGGGGAGCAAACAGGAUUAGAUACCCCUGUAGU